rnacentral:rRNA from 1 species
AAGCGGCAACAGCUCAAAUUUGAAAUCUGGCCCUCUGGGUCCGAGUUGUAAUUUGUAGAGGAUGCUUUUGGCGAGGUGCCUUCCGAGUUCCCUGGAACGGGACGCCAUAGAGGGUGAGAGCCCCGUCUGGUCGGACACCGAGCCUCUGUAAAGCUCCUUCGACGAGUCGAGUAGUUUGGGAAUGCUGCUCAAAAUGGGAGGUAUAUGUCUUCUAAAGCUAAAUAUUGGCCAGAGACCGAUAGCGCAGAAGUAGAGUGAUCGAAAGAUGAAAAGCACUUUGAAAAGAGGGUUAAAAAGUACGUGAAAUUGUUGAAAGGGAAGCGCCUAUGACCAGACUUGAGCCCGGUGGAAUCAUCCAGCGUUCUCGCGGGUGCACUUUGCCGGGCCCAGGCCGGGAUCAGUGUGGCGCGGGGGAUAAAGGUGACGGGGAAUGUGGCUCCAUCGGGAGUGUUAUAGCCCGCUGCGUAAGUACCAUGCGCCGGACUGAGAUACACCCAUUGCCAGGGAUGCUGGGGAUAAUGGUCCUCAGG